AUACGUAGGGGGCGAGCGUUGUCCGGAAUGACUGGGCGUAAAGGGCGUGUAGGCGGCGGUGUAAGUCUGGAGUGAAAGUCCCGCAUUCAAUGUGGGAAUUGCUUUGGAUACUGCAGUGCUAGAGUGCGGAAGAGGUAAGUGGAAUUCCCAGUGUAGCGGUGAAAUGCGUAGAGAUUGGGGGGAACACCAGUGGCGAAGGCGACUUACUGGGCCGUAACUGACGCUGAGGCGCGAAAGCGUGGGGAGCGAACAGGAUUAGAUACCCUGGUAGUCCACGCGGUAAACGAUGAAUGCUAGGUGUUGCGGGUAUCGACCCCUGCAGUGCCGGAGUAAAAACAAUAAGCAUUCCGCCUGGGGAGUACGGCAGCAAGGUUGAAACUCAAAUGAAUUGACGGGG
rnacentral:rRNA from 1 species